rnacentral:snoRNA from 14 species
AAGCCAUGAUGAGGGCAUCGAUUGGUGUAACCCUUGAAACCUUCCCAUGCUUCACAGAAGCUUUCGCCAGUCUUCUGUGAAAAACCAGAAAUCUGAUUUCUGAGUCU